rnacentral:lncRNA from 10 species
CCGGUCUUCCGUCAAGGGUAUAUGAGUAGCUGCGCUCUCUACUAGAACCUCCAAGCAAGCGCUCAGGAAUUGGCAACACGGAGAAGGCCAGUGUAAAACUCAGUCUUUGGCUUCUGAUGAGUCUACCAUGAUACUGACAACCUACCAGCUGAAGAGAAGUCUCUACAUGGACUGUGCAAAAGAGAUUCAGAGGCGUCUACUGAAUUUCAACCAUAAAUUGUCUAGUAUAAAGGAAGAUAAGUGUCCCUGCUGAAGAAGAAUGGAAACAUAAUGGAAUCAAUUCGGUGUGUCUGUGGAAAGAACUUAUUUCUCCAUUCCCCCAGGAUCCAGAUAAUUUAUCAUUGAGGUCUGGCAGCCAAGAUGGCCGAAUAGGAACAGCUCUGGUCUAC